rnacentral:rRNA from 1 species
UACGUAGGGGGCAAGCGUUGUCCGGAUUUAUUGGGCGUAAAGAGCGUGUAGGCGGUUUGGUAGGUCCGCUGUGAAAACUCGAGGCUCAACCUCGAGACGCCGGUGGAAACCAUCAGACUAGAGUCCGGUAGGGGAGUGUGGAAUUCCCGGUGUAGCGGUGAAAUGCGCAGAUAUCGGGAGGAACACCAGUAGCGAAGGCGACACUCUGGGCCGGUACUGACGCUGAGGAGCGAAAGCGUGGGGAGCAACAGG